UGUUUUUCUCGUCUUCUCCGUCGUCGUCGUCUUCUUCUUCUUCUUCUUCUUCUUCUUCUUCUUCUUCGUAGCCGUGAAAUCAAAUCGUAAAAGAUUCCAACUUUAUGUACCGAAGAAGGGCUGAAAGAUGACAGACAACGGAGAUGAGGCUAAGGUUCCUCCUAGCGACUCGUCUACAUCGAACGAUGCUUCUCGAACGAGGCAAAGGAGAAAGAGAAAGUGGGAUCAGCCUGCCGAGCAGCUAUCAAUGUUCCUCCUUCUUCAACUGUUGCUCCAUUGUUCCAAACCCUUAUGCCUCAUCCAUUUCCUAAACUUAUUCAAGUAAUUCACUUUCACGCUCUUUUCAAUGUUCUAUGCGUUACUGUAUGACUAUGAGAUUCCACAACCGCCCCAAAUAUGGUGUCUGCGUUUGUGGCUUUAAUGCUAUUUACAUGUGUACUUCUGAACGGUCUGCUGUUUGUGGUUAUUUCUCUAUUUUGGUGGUUGAGGUUGCUGUGGCAAGUCCUGUAUUGGUGGUUGAGGUUGAUAUGCAGGACAGGACAAAGGAAUAAAAGUGGUUACGUUUUGUAUCAGUCACGUUUUGUAUGCUUCUGUGGGAGCAGUAACGUUUUGUAUCAUCGGCCUAGUGAAGAAGUGUCAUUGUCGUCACUCACGUUUUGUAUGCUAGUGUAUUAUCAGUCACAAACUUUUGUAUCCUUGUGUAUUAAGUGUCAUGUAUUCUUGUGUAUUAUGAGUCACAGAAGUGGUGUUGUGUUUGUUGUCUUGUUGUCAAAGUCGCUUUGUGUUUGUUGUUUUCUUGUGUCAUUGUCUUUAAAAUACAAUCUUGUAGUAAAUUUGUAUCUUGUAAUGAAAGUAUUGUCUUUAGAAUUC